GCCGCAGUAGCUCAGCCGGUAGAGCAGCGCAUUCGUAAUGCGCGGGUCGGGGGUUCGAGUCCCUCCUGCGGCACCA
rnacentral:tRNA from 1 species